rnacentral:rRNA from 1 species
GGAGGGGGGCUAGCGUUGUUCGGAAUGACUGGGGGGCGUAAAGGGGCGCGUAGGGCGGGUUUUUUAAGUGAGGGCGUGAAAGCCCCGGGCUUAACCCGGGAAGUGCGUUUCAUACUGGAAAGCUUGAGUGCGAGAGAGGAAAGUGGAAUUCCUAGUGUAGAGGUGAAAUUCGUAGAUAUUAGGAAGAACACCGGUGGCGAAGGCGACUUUCUGGCUCGCAACUGACGCUGAGGCGCGAAAGCGUGGGGAGCAAACAGGAUUAGAUACCCUGGUAGUCCACGCCGUAAACGAUGUGUGCUAGACGUUGGAGGGGAACUUUCAGUGUCGCAGCUAACGCGUUAAGCACACCGCCUGGGGAGUACGGUCGCAAGAUUA